AAUUGGAGUGUUCAAGAAGAAGGACAAUGAAAAACAGAAAGAUAGCGCAACACUCGAAACCCUUCUCCGAAAAAGAGAAACAAUUCCCGAAUGGUCAAAAAAGGAACACUUAACCAAAGUUCCAUCAUCAAUCGAUUUUAAAGCAAAAUACCACUCUAUGUAAUCACUUUAUAAAAAUAAUACAUGAAAUUAAAUCAAUAUAUUGUAUAUUCAGGAAUUGAUAAAUUAGUGAAUAACUAGCGCAAAAACGAAGAAAAACGGAAAAGCGACUUAAAAAUAACUAUUUACUUAGGUCCUAGUUGCUCCUCAUUUUUGGAUGUCGUGUAGAUUUGUGAACCAACCACCGCAUGGAAGAAGAAACCACCAAUGAAGACACUAAGAUACAAAACCCACAGACUAUUUAUCUAUAGAACAGAAGAAUCCAACUCGAUUAAAAUGUGGAAAUCCUCAGGUGCUUUCGAUCUAGCUUGUUUUGCAUUUUUCAUUUUCAAUUUAACACUUACCAUUUGCAAAUUCCAUCCCAGACGGAUUCAAUCAAUCAGUGCAAUCAAAAUCCAAGAGAGUUGACAAAUGUACCAUGUACCUAAAGUAAAAAGUGAAACCCAACAUUAAACUUUAAAGUGGAGAGCUAAAUAAAAAAUGAAAACAAAAUCCCUAGGCUAAGAGUGAACGAUUUAUCGCCCAUCAGCCAUAAAACAAAGUGGAAAAUCAACUAUUUUUGAACUGGGCUUGCUGCUUGCCCAGCCCAGCAGGUCAGCCAGCCUUUAGUUCGAGUAGCCAUCCCCGAAAUCCGAAAUCCGAAAUCCGAAGCCCCAAUUAAAAUAAUAUACAUGCGUAACUGCAAAUUGUGAGAAAUUGAGGAUUUCAUCAAUUUUAUUUCGGGUUUGUGGGGGUAACGGGGUAUUUAGAGGACAUAUUUAGGGGAUUUGAAAUCACUGAAAGGGCGUCUUAAUAUUUUCAACAUUAUGUCAUUCUUUUAUUUACCAGUUAAAUAUUUCCCUCGAUAUAUUUAUUAUUAAUAAUAAUUUAAUUUAAUAUUUUAUCAAUAAACAUUUAAUUUGUUAGUAAUAAAUCGGUAUUUAAUUAAAAUUAAUACAGAAGAAAUCUACUUUUUAAGGAAAGCUCAUAGGAAAAGUGUUUUGAGUUGCUUUAAAUACGGAAUUAAAUUAUAACAUUUUAAGACCAUCUUUUUUAGUGACUUCAAAAGCCCUAGAUAAUCUUUGAAAUAUUGCCCUGCCUAAGUAAAAGUUACCCGAAACCAAGAAUGGAAAUUGAAAUUGAAGAGAUCAGCAUGCUCUCGAGUCGACGGAGUUUUCUUUUAUAUAAGUCUCGAUGUUGUUAUUGCUUAUAGAGUAUACACAUAAACAUAGGCUAUAACCUCGUCAUCAUAAUAAUAUUUAGAAUGUACAUAACAAAAUACUGGUACUAUUUUAUCUUCGUGUUCGAGAUUGCGCCUUCUUAGCACUCCAAAAAAAUUAAUGAAAACUCCCAAUAUUACAGAAAACAGAAGAGAACAUUGAAAAAAACACCUUAAAAGAAAAACCCCCUUCCUCUAUUUUGACCUGAGAAAAUGUCGCUGGACGACGAAGGAAAAAUAUAAGGAGACGUGUGUAAAACAAAACUAGACAAUUUUUUUAUUAUUAAACAUAGUCAAGGAUAAUCAACUCGAGACGAUGGGAAAUUGGGCCGCAGUUGGCGAAAAUGAUUAUGAGAAACCAAGGAUGUAAGAGAUAUAUUUAUAGAAAUGAACUAUAUGUAUACAUACGGACAGAUUGAUUAUAUGAUUAUAUAGUAACUUAUUGUCACAACGCAAGAGCAAUCAAUGUUUAACUUUAUUAAAUGUUACAAAGAGUUUUAAAUAUUAAAUAUACCUAAAGAAAUAUAUACAGAUAUACCUAUAUAUUGCAGAUUAUAUUCUAUACAUAUAAUUUGUAGGUGAAGCUAAGAUGAAUAAAAUACUAGACGUACUCGUAGUUUGCCAUUGUGUUUGCCAAAAAAAUCGGAGAUGAAUAUAAAAAGAAGUUGUGUCAGCCAAUACAGAAAUUUAAGGAAAAUUAUUUACCAACGAGUUCUGAAGAACCUCAUUCAAAUUCAUCUGUAAAUCUAUUGUAUCCGCGAAUUAAAUAAUCCAGCAAUAAUUAAAAUGUGCAAUCCAGAAAAAACUAACAAAGGCCAAUAAAAAGCAUUUCCCGGGCUGGCACUCUUCAUCAAUUUUUUUUAAUAGUAUUCAUUUGAAAAUCGUUAUUUUUGUGUCUUAGCAAUAAUAAUAUAAAUACAAACAAAAUGUGUGUGUCGCUCUGUCUCUGUCUUUAUUGUGUUUGAGAUAACUCGUAUCUUAUAAUGAAUAUUAUUACUAAAGCAAAAGAAUAAAGAAAAGUAAGAAAGCAAAAGCGCAGGAAAGCGCAGAAUGGAAUCCACAUAAGAAAUUAAAAUUACUAAUUAAAACGAUUACUUACAGUAGACCUAAGAAUACAAAGAUUAAAUAAAGAAAACGAUUUCCUUAAAUUUAAA